rnacentral:rRNA from 1 species
AUUGAACGCUGGCGGCAGGCCUAACACAUGCAAGUCGAGCGGCAGCGGAAAGUAGCUUGCUACUUUGCCGGCGAGCGGCGGACGGGUGAGUAAUGUCUGGGAAACUGCCUGAUGGAGGGGGAUAACUACUGGAAACGGUAGCUAAUACCGCAUGACCUCGAAAGAGCAAAGUGGGGGAUCUUCGGACCUCACGCCAUCGGAUGUGCCCAGAUGGGAUUAGCUAGUAGGUGAGGUAAUGGCUCACCUAGGCGACGAUCCCUAGCUGGUCUGAGAGGAUGACCAGCCACACUGGGACUGAGACACGGCCCAGACUCCUACGGGAGGCAGCAGUGGGAAUAUUGCACAAUGGGCGCAAGCCUGAUGCAGCCAUGCCGCGUGUGUGAAGAAGGCCUUAGGGUUGUAAAGCACUUUCAGCGAGGAGGAAGGCAUCAUACUUAAUACGUGUGGUGAUUGACGUUACUCGC